CUGGGCUUAAGCCAUGCGAGUCAUUGUAGCAAUACAAGGCAGACGGCUCAGUAACGCGUAGUCAAUCUACCCUAUGGACGGGAAUAACCUCGGGAAACUGAGAAUAAUGCCCGAUAGAACAUUAUGCCUGGAAUGGUUUAUGUUUCAAAUGAUUUAUCGCCAUAGGAUGGGACUGCGGCCUAUCAGUUUGUUGGUGAGGUAAUGGCCCACCAAGACUAUUACAGGUACGGGCUCUGAGAGGAGUAGCCCGGAGAUGGGUACUGAGACACGGACCCAGGCCCUAUGGGGCGCAGCAGGCGAGAAAACUUUGCAAUGUGCGAAAGCACGACAAGGUUAAUCCGAGUGGUUUCUGCUAAAGAAACCUUUUGUCAGUCCUAGAAACACUGACGAAUAAGGGGUGGGCAAGUUCUGGUGUCAGCCGCCGCGGUAAAACCAGCACCUCAAGUGGUCAGGAUGAUUAUUGGGCCUAAAGCAUCCGUAGCUCGUUUUGUAAGUUUUCGGUUAAAUCCAUGCGCUUAACGUAUGGGCUGCCGGGAAUACUGCAUAACUAGGAAGUGGGAGAGGUAGACGGUACUCGGUAGGAAGGGGUAAAAUCCUUUGAUCUAUUGAUGACCACCUGUGGCGAAGGCGGUCUACCAGAACACGUUCGACGGUGAGGGAUGAAAGCUGGGGGAGCAAACCGGAUUAGAUACCCGGGUAGUCCCAGCUGUAAACUAUGCAAACUCAGUGAUGCAUUGGCUUGUGGCCAAUGCAGUGCUGCAGGGAAGCCGUUAAGUUUGCCGCCUGGGAAGUACGUACGCAAGUAUGAAACUUAAAGGAAUUGGCGGGGGAGCACCACAAGGGGUGAAGCCUGCGGUUCAAUUGGAGUCAACGCCAGAAAUCUUACCCGGAGAGACAGCAGAAUGAAGGUCAAGCUGAAGACUUUACCAGACAAGCUGAGAGGUGGUGCAUGGCCAGAGCAUAAGUGUAAGCUGGGUGCUAUGAGGUGGAGCUACUCACAUAUGCGU
rnacentral:rRNA from 1 species